CCAAUAGCGUAUAUUAAAGUUGUUGCAGUUAAAAAGCUCGUAGUUGAAUUUCGGGAUCAAUAUGUUGGUCGUGCCUUUGGUACGUACUAGCUUAUUGAUUUCUCCCUUCUGACGAACCAUGAUGUCAUUAAUUUGGUGUCAUGGGGAAUCAGGACUGUUACUUUGAAAAAAUUAGAGUGUUUAAAGCAGGCUUACGCUUGAAUAUAUUAGCAUGGAAUAAUGAAAUAGGACGUUUUGAUUCUAUUUUGUUGGUUUCUAGGAUCGACGUAAUGAUUAAUAGGGAUAGUUGGGGGCAUUAGUAUUCAAUUGUCAGAGGUGAAAUUCUUGGAUUUAUUGAAGACUAACUACUGCGAAAGCAUUUGCCAAGGAUGUUUUCAUUAAUCAAGAACGAAAGUUAGGGGAUCGAAGACGAUCAGAUACCGUCGUAGUCUUAACCAUAAACUAUGCCGACUAGGGAUCGGAUGAUGUUAAUUUUUUAAUGACUCAUUCGGCGCCUUACG
rnacentral:sRNA from 1 species